rnacentral:snoRNA from 12 species
UGGCGAUGAGGAAAGAAAUUCGUGUGCCGGAGGCGUCCGCUGGACGCCGGUGUUGGUUCCACAAAUCCUCUAAGAAGUUCUGAGCCA